rnacentral:rRNA from 1 species
AACAAACGCUGGCGGCGUGCCUAAUACAUGCAAGUCGAACGGGGAAAGCUUUCGGGUGAGUACUAGUGGCGCACGGGUGAGUAACGCGUGGAUAAUCUGCCUUAGAGUGGGGGAUAACUAGUCGAAAGAUUAGCUAAUACCGCAUAAGACCACAAGAACUGCGGUUCAAGGGGUCAAAGGUUUUUCGCUCUAAGAUGAGUCCGCGGAAGAUUAGCUAGUUGGUGAGGUAAUGGCUCAACAAGGCAACGAUCCAUAGCUGGUCUGAGAGGAUGAUCAGCCUCACUGGGACUGAGACACGGCCCAGACUCCUACGGGAGGCAGCAGUGGGGAAUAUUGGACAAUGGGGGAAACCCUGAUCCAGCCAUGCCGCGUGAAUGAUGAAGGCCUUCGGGUUGUAAAGUUCUUUUGGUGGGGACGAUGAUGACGGUACCCACAGAAUAAGCUCCGGCUAACUUCGUGCCAGCAGCCGCCGUAAAAC